rnacentral:rRNA from 1 species
GUCUCUUUGAUACAUAAUAAUAAGGAGUUGGGCCUGCUCGGUGAUAUUUUUAACAGCUGCGGUAUUAUAACUGUACUAAGGUAGCAUAAUAAUUUGCCUUAUAAAUUAGGGCUAGAAUGAAUGGUUUGACGAAAAUUAUACUGUCUCUACUUUAAUUAUUAGAAAUUAAUUUUUAUAGUGAAAAAGCUUGGAUGAUUUAAAGGGACGAGAAGACCCUAUUGAGCUUUAUGUUAAAAUAUAUAUAAUUAUAAAAUAUUAUUUGUUUUUUAUUUUUGGUUGGGGUGAUCAAGGAAUAAAAUUUUAAUAGUAUAAUUUCCUUAUUAAUAUUAUUUGUUAGAAUAAUAAACCAAAAAUUUUGCUUAAAUGAUAAGUUACCAUAGGGAUAACAGCGUAAUUUUUUUAGAGAGUUCAUAUUAAAAAAAAAGAUUGCGACCUCGAUGUUGGAUUAAAAUAACCAUUAGGUGUAGAAGCUUUAUUUGGUAAAUCUGUUCGAUUUUUAAAAUUUU